UCCUACGGGAGGCAGCAGUGGGGAAUAUUGGACAAUGGGGGGAACCCUGAUCCAGCCAUGCCGCGUGUGUGAAGAAGGCCCUCGGGUUGUAAAGCACUUUCAGCGAGGAAGAACGCCUAGCGGUUAAUACCCGCUAGGAAAGACAUCACUCGCAGAAGAAGCACCGGCUAACUCCGUGCCAGCAGCCGCGGUAAUACGGAGGGUGCAAGCGUUAAUCGGAAUUACUGGGCGUAAAGCGCGCGUAGGUGGCUUGAUAAGCCGGUUGUGAAAGCCCCGGGCUCAACCUGGGAACGGCAUCCGGAACUGUCAAGCUAGAGUGCAGGAGAGGAAGGUAGAAUUCCCGGUGUAGCGGUGAAAUGCGUAGAGAUCGGGAGGAAUACCAGUGGCGAAGGCGGCCUUCUGGACUGACACUGACACUGAGGUGCGAAAGCGUGGGUAGCAAACAGGAUUAGAUACCCUGGUAGUCCACGCCGUAAACGAUGUCGACCAGCCGUUGGGUGCCUAGCGCACUUUGUGGCGAAGUUAACGCGAUAAGUCGACCGCCUGGGGAGUACGGCCGCAAGGUUAAAACUCAAAUGAAUUGACGGGGACCCGCACAAGCGGUGGAGCAUGUGGUUUAAUUCGACGAUACGCGAAGAACCUUACCUGGCCUUGACAUACUGAGAACUUUCUAGAGAUAGAUUGGUGCUAGCUUGCUAGAACUCAGAUACAGUGCUGCACGGCUGUCGUCAGCUCGUGUCGUGAGAUGUUGGGUUAAGUCCCGCACGAGCGCAACCCUCAUGUUUAGUUGCUAACAGUUCGGCUGAGACUCUAAACAGACUGCCUCCCAAGGAGGGAGAAGUGAGGACGACUCAGUCAUCAUGGCCUUACGCAGGGCUACCACGUCUACAUGGGC
rnacentral:rRNA from 1 species